UUGCUAGUUACCAUCAUUGAGUUGGGACUCUAGCGAGACUGCCAGUGAUAAACUGGAGGAAGGUGGGGAUGACGUCAAAUCAUCAUGCCCCUUAUGACCUGGGCUACAAACGUGAUACAAUGGCUGAAACAGAGGGAGGCGAAGGGGUGACCUGGAGCGAAACCCAGAAAAACAGUCUCAGUUCGGAUUGAAGUCUGCAACUCGACUUCAUGAAGUUGGAAUCGCUAGUAAUCGUAGAUCAGAACGCUACGGUGAAUACGUUCUCGGGGUUU
rnacentral:rRNA from 1 species